rnacentral:rRNA from 1 species
ACAGCAGUCGCCGCGGUAAUACAGAGGAUGCAAGCGUUAUCCGGAAUGAUUGGGCGUAAAGCGUCUGUAGGUGGCUUUUCAAGUCCGCCGUCAAAUCCCAGGGCUCAACCCUGGACAGGCGGUGGAAACUACCAAGCUGGAGUACGGUAGGGGCUGAGGGAAUUUCCGGUGGAGCGGUGAAAUGCGCUGAGAUCGGAAAGAACACCAACGGCGAAAGCACUCUGCUGGGCCGACACUGACACUGAGAGACGAAAGCUAGGGGAGCAAAUGGGAUUAGAUACCCCCGUAGUCCCUGUCUCUUAUAC